UGACCCCCCCACCUCCUCUGCCCCCUUUGGUGCCUGGUGUUUGCCUUGUGGGGGUGGGGAUCCAUCCCUUCCCAGGCCUCCCCCAACCCCAGCCCAUCUGGGCCUCUGGGACAGGAGAGGGUGUCCGUGUCCGCCUGUGUUUGCAUCCCUGCCCCCGGGGCCCCUCCUGCUGGGGUGGCAUCAGCUGUUUGGGGAGGUGGGCAGGCGGGGCCUCCUUAUCCCUGACCUCUUGGAACCUUGGGGUGCAACCAGGGGCCCCACUGAGCCAGGCCUGACCCCCUUCGCUCCAUCCUGGGUUGGAAGGACUGUCUGGACCAUCUCAUCCUUGGCACCUUGUCUGUCAGCAGUGGCUGAUUUAUCUGUCCAGAGCUGACUUCCAACCCGAGUCUGAGUGAUGGAGCCCGUGGGAGCAGCUGGAAGAAGAGCGUGCAGAGGCGGCUCAGCUCCUUGUCUUAGGAACCGGAAGCCACACCUGAGUCCACGUUCUAGUCAGCAACCUGAAAAAGCCACUAGAGCCGUCCAGCCGCACUGGCUAGCUCCCUCGUUCCCUCACGAAAGUGCCCUGGACCGUGAACUCGGCCCUCACUGGUCUAAAUCCCUUAGACUGGAGCUUCCCCACCACUCCCGGGGUUUGCAAAUCUUGCCAUUGCUCUGGUGUAGAGGCUAUCCCCUGGGUCCUCAUGGGCGGCUGUGCCCUGGAGCCUGCAGAGAUGGAAGCCCCAGGCCUCCGGGGGUCUGGUGAGAGCAGGGGUGCUUGUGGUGAGUCUGAGGAAGGGCAUCGGCCCAGGGGAGGGGAGCACAGCCGUCCCAGCACAGGCGGGCUCCUGCUCUCCUCAGUCACUGGGCACAGACACUCGAGUGACUAGGGGGUCCAAGAUCAUGUUUCCACAAGGUCCAACCAGGGUACCCCAUCCCAAAUUUCAGGGUCCCUCUGUACCAGGCGGCACCCUCACCUGCACGUGAGAAACUUAUCAAGACUGUGGAUUCAACCACUACCACUCAGCAACCUGCAAACUUAAAUGCCUCGUUUUCAGCGCUUCAAGGAUCUUGGGGGCAGCACAGAAGCUCUCCCCCUCGAAGAAGGCAGCCCGAGCUGAGCCAACAGCCCUGACCCUGUCCUUGUCUGUGGGUGCUCAAGGGCACUCCGCGGAAGCUUCCAGCACCUAUCUUUAGAACUGGCGUUACUGGCACAGUGGUCAGGUGCAGCGGCUGCGGGGCUCCCAGGCACGUGCCUUAGCGGGCAUCCUGGCCAACGGCCAACCCCUGGCCAGAGCUGGACCGACCCCAAUCCUGUCUUUGUGAGUCUGUCUCCUGGAACACUCCGGAGGCCAGUGCUGGAUCCGUGUGGAUCCCGUCAGGAGAGAAAAACCGCACAGUGACUCGAACAGGCGCCCUCUACCGACAAACUUCAGCACGUCACUCGGCCGAGAAAAACGGUUUCAAAGGCCCAUGGUCUGUUUUCACGGAGCAAACAGGAAAGCUGGAUUUGGAGCGGAGUCAGUGAGUGGAUAAGCGGGAACACCGGGGGCCGUGGGGCACGCCGGGCGUCAGCGAGUGAGUCCAGGGAUGGCGAGCUGGUGGAGAGCUGAGUGGUGUCCCACAGGGAACCGGGCCGGUGGUGCCCCUGUGUCAGAGGGGAUCCCGGCAGGGAGCAGCAAUGUCUUUAAACAAGGCUAUGCUGAGAAGACGCUCGGGACAAGUCAAGAGCAGGGUUUCCCGACAUGGAAGGAACCGGGUGUG